rnacentral:rRNA from 1 species
UACCUGCAGCUCAAGUGGUGGCCGCUAUUAUUGGGCCUAAAACGUUCGUAGCCGGCUGAGUAAAUGCUUGGGUAAAUCGUGCCGCUUAACGGUACGAAUUCCGAGUAGACUGCUUAGCUUGAGACCGGGAGAAGCUAGAGGUACUCCUGGGGUAGGGGUGAAAUCCUGUAAUCCUGGGGGGACCACCAGUGGCGAAGGCGUCUAGCUAGAACGGGUCUGACGGUGAGGGACGAAACCCUGGGGCGCAAACCGGAUUAGAUACCCGGGUAGUCCAGGGCGCAAACGCUGCUUGCUUGAUGUUAGCUGGGCUCCGAGCUCAGCUAGUGUCGGAGAGAAGUUGUUAAGCAAGCUGCCUGGGAAGUACGAUCGCAAGAUUGAAACUUAAAGGAAUUGGCGGGGGAGCACAGCAACGGGUGGAGCGUGCGGUUU